UCGUGGGCUUUGCGACUGCCUUCUGACUGGUGACUGCUAAGAUCACGUACUGUGUCUGUGUGGGUGAACUACCUUGAGGUUAACAGUUACCUUGACAUUAACCAUUCUGCGUUGAGGGGGAGACCAGCGAUGUUCUUACGCUGGGCUUAAGUCUUUUUAAAUAGUCAUUUCUACAGUGAUAACAGGUAACUGAAGACAACUCUUGCUAACGAAUAAUACUGAGGUCAAGUACAAAAGAAUCUUUUUGCUGCUAUGGACCAAGGCCAUCAACCUUACCUGUGUUAUGAGGCUGGUGGCGUUUAAUCUUAUGUAGCGUAUGUUAGCAAAUUGUUAACCAAUUGGAAGGGUAACAUGCUCUUUCUUUCCUUGGGAGGUGAUGUGUGUAUGUAUGAGGGUACAGCUCAUAGGCACAUGUAAAAUUAAUCUACUUCAAAAUAUUAUUUAUGAUCCGUAGUUUUUUAGUGACUAAUUGUUAGUAAGCUUGGAGAGAAUAAAUCCUGUUUUUUGAGUACUGAGAUUGGAUGGACAUGGUAUCUUUUAAGUUUAAAAAGGAGGUUCUAACGCACCCUCAGCCAUCAGAUAUGCAUGUUCUGUUUCUCCAUUACUGCAGCUGCUCUCCAAGGUUCUCCUUUGGGAUGGGACUGUACAGGAAGACACAGUCCGUGGUGUGGGACUGAGCAAGCUGCUGAAUCGUUACCUUCUUCUGAACCUCUUCAACACACCACCAGGGCCAGAAAACAUAGAGAAGUGUAAAGAGGUGGUUGCAUGCUUCCCAGAAAGAUGGUUCCAAAAUCUUGGAAGUGGGUCAACUCUCCCCGAGUCAGUGAACUUCUGCCAGCAUUUGGUUCAGUGAGCAUGUAUGCUUCACAGGAAUAACCACAGUGAUGAAACUGAAGAAGUUGUUCUCCUGUUGGUGAAAGUCAAGGCUCUGCAUAUUGCUGAAGAGCUCGCUGAAGAGUGCAAACGGGAACAUCUUAAAUCUGUGAUCAGGAAAUAAGGAUUUCUUUGAAGCAGCAGUUCUUUUACUGAAACAAGCCUGAUGCUCACUCUAAAAAAGUGGUAACGUUUAAUGAGUGGACUGCCUGCAGUUGUUUUACUGUGAAGUAUUUUGGUUUUUUUCCAACUGUCUUCUGAUGCCAUCUACUCCUAGAUAGAAUCACAAUGGUCAGUGUGAAGUGCGGGUGUUCUGAAAUAUAUGACGAAGCCUCACUGCUUUGUUCUUUUGGGAAGGAUGACUGCAGUAAGUGCCUGUAACGUUACCACUGCUGGUGAGCAGACAACUUCACAAGCUGUUUUCAGUACCACACCAAAUCACUCUGACCCCGGAGUCACUGAACUCUAACUUAUUGUCCACUUCAUGAGAUAACUCUACCAAACUCACAGUGAGUUCUUCUUAGCUUUUUGAUCCCGACACAGAAGCAGGAAUUCUGUGUGCAGUGAGAAGUUUGAUCUAUGAACAUCUACUGAUAGAAGAUCAAUUACCUUCUAGAAAUUGGCUCUCUAAGGACAUUUCACUUCUGCUUCCCUCUAAGACCCAUUAAACCUCAUCUCAUUGUACCCAUGUUAGAUUUCUAAUGUUGUGUAACUUCGUAUAUGUGCAGUAAAUAUUACUGCUGCAGAAUAAAAAGGAUGUUUUACUGUAGAAACAGCAGUGCGUCACAAAUUCUGCUAAGUUUGCUAUUGCCUGCUUCUCUAAAAUGUUAUGUAUGGGUCUUCCAUUUAACUCAUGGGGCCUUCUAUUCCCUAUGGUUUUUCUGUUGUUUUUUAUUACAGAAUAUGUAUUUUUGUAAACUAUUUUAAUUGUAAAUAGCAUUCAUCAGUGUUAUAGACAACAAUGACUUUUAAAAUAAAAGCAAAACCAUUAUUU
ensembl:lncRNA